rnacentral:lncRNA from 1 species
UGAAAAGAGAAAAAUUCAUGAGAAAAAGAAAAGAAAAGAAGAAAAGCAUGAAGAUGAGCUCAAUGAAAAAGAAAAGAAAAGGGAAGAAGUUGGGAAUGAGAGACAUUGGUGAGAGAGUUGUGCUUAAAUGUUGAAUAUUUUGUUAGCUCUCUUUACUCAAGGAUUUUGCAUUUUAGAAAAACCAAUUUUUCUUGUUAGCCCGACCUCAUUACAAGCCUUGAAAAAGUCCUUUUGAUGGCAUUUGCAUGUAAAGAUGCUGAUUGUUUGAGAUGAAUGGCAAUCUUGUUUCAUGUAACUUGU